GGGGAAGGGCCAUAGCUCAGUGGUAGAGCAUCUGCCUUGCAAGCAGGAGGUCCCGGGUUCAAUCCCCGGCAUCUCCA